UGAGGAAUAUUGGUCAAUGGGCGCAAGCCUGAACCAGCCAUCCCGCGUGCAGGAAGACGGCCCUAUGGGUUGUAAACUGCUUUUCCAGGGGGAGAAUUUUUCUGUCGUGACAGGAAUUGACGGUACCCUGGGAAUAAGCAUCGGCUAACUCCGUGCCAGCAGCCGCGGUAAUACGGAGGAUGCGCGCGUUAUCCGGAUUUAUUGGGUUUAAAGGGUGCGUAGGCGGAUAGAUAAGUCAGUGGUGAAAACCUGCAGCUUAACUGUAGACUUGCCGUUGAUACUGUCAGUCUUGAGUAUGGUCAAGGUAGGCGGAAUGUGGAAUGUAGCGGUGAAAUGCUUAGAUAUUACACAGAACACCGAUUGCGAAGGCAGCUUACUGGGCCAGUACUGACGCUGAUGCACGAAAGCGUGGGGAGCGAACA
rnacentral:rRNA from 1 species